rnacentral:rRNA from 1 species
GAUGAACGCUGGCGGCGUGCCUAAUACAUGCAAGUAGAACGCUGAAGCUUGGUGCUUGCACCGAGCGGAUGAGUUGCGAACGGGUGAGUAACGCGUAGGUAACCUGCCUGGUAGCGGGGGAUAACUAUUGGAAACGAUAGCUAAUACCGCAUAACAGUAGAUAUUGCAUGAUAUCUGCUUGAAAGGUGCAAAUGCAUCACUACCAGAUGGACCUGCGUUGUAUUAGCUAGUUGGUGAGGUAACGGCUCACCAAGGCGACGAUACAUAGCCGACCUGAGAGGGUGAUCGGCCACACUGGGACUGAGACACGGCCCAGACUCCUACGGGAGGCAGCAGUAGGGAAUCUUCGGCAAUGGGGGGAACCCUGACCGAGCAACGCCGCGUGAGUGAAGAAGGUUUUCGGAUCGUAAAGCUCGGUUGUAAGAGAAGAACGAGUGUGAGAGUGGAAAGUUCACACUGUGACGGUAUCUUACCAGAAAGGGACGGCUAACUACGUG